rnacentral:rRNA from 1 species
CUACGGGAUUCGUGGUGGCAAGUUUUGUUGUAAGGGAAGACAGACAGUUUUCCUAUUUGUUGUGCGGGGGAGGGGAGCGCAUAGAGAGCUCUGACUUCCGAAGCCGCCGCGCUCGCGGCUGGGGCUGGGGCUGGGGCCGGUUCUAGGGCCGCCGGGAAAGGAGGUCUGCAUCGAAGAGGGUGCCCGGAGCCAGGUAUGGCGGCGGGGUCGGAAGAGUUGGGCAGCCGCGGCGGCGUCAGGAAUAGCGGCGGCGUCGAAAGAGUGCGGCAGCCGCGACGGAGUCGGGUGGCGGCGGCUGCAACGAAGAGGGUGCCGGGGGGAAGAGGCCGCGUUGGCCAUAAGGCCGUAAGAUAGGCCAUUCCUAGUGGAGGGGGAGGGGGGAGGGAGGAAAAGGGGAUCCCAAAGCAACAGCUGCAACCAGAGUGGUAACCGCGCCGGUUAUUAACCACCUAAAGCCGAACUAUUAAAAUCCUAAAGUAAUCAAAAUCCCAAUAAGACAUUCUAGGCGGGUGUCAAAAACUCCCAACAGGCAAUUCCCGAGUUCAAACACGGUGACUGGGCUAGUUAACUGGUUUCGCUUCCCAGACCAAUAGAAUUUAAAGUGGUGGUGUUUGUUUUUGUAUGGUCGUCAAACCUCUAACCGGUCCGUACAACAUAUAAUCAUUGAUGGUGGUCAUAAAGCGAGUAUUCCAAAUCUAAUUAGGUAAAAAUAAACACGUAAUCAUAAAAUAAUCGUCAUAGGGUGUGGGAUAGACAUCAAAAACGGAAAAACCCUCGGGGAUAGGACCGUGAUGUAUAAACAACACUAACUCGACUAGCAGGAGAAGUUGUUGAAGAGAAUACCCAGAUCGGACGGCUCACCUUCUGAACCCUGUUCUAUUACCGUUCGGAACGACUAAGAAAGAACCGACUAGAACUACUUGAAAGUCUGUUACUUCGGAUGGGACUUCUUCUGUUACGACUCCGUCACCCAUACCUACUCCUACCACUGCUACUAUACGGACUAGAACUCAGAGAAUUAAUACUACUAGAACUGUCGCAGAGCUUUGACGUCUUCUGUGUUGCAAUAAGACUGUAUUACGUUUUUCAACUUCCUCGUGAACUCUUUCUGUGUAUAAACAGAUUAGUUCCAAAGUAGGACCUCCUCCUAGGUCUCAUGGUCGAAUAACAUCUAACGUUACGGAAUAGUCAUCUAUAACUCUUACUCGAGUAAUAUUAUGUAUUAAAGUAGGCACUGUUCAUAUCCGACUUCAAAGGACUUGACCUUAGGGAACAAGUAGUAGGCUAACUAAUACGGGCACAACAAUUCUUCUAACGUUUACUCCACCUAUAUUGUGAUCAUCUAGACCUUCCCGAGAACGGAAGACGUCAAUAUUACCAACAGAGACACUGUCGUAGCUGUUGAUCACCCUUCGGAGAAAGAGUCCUCUUAAACCAUUUUUGGUAACUUCGUACACUGUCUCGGGAAUUAGAACUACGACGUUUCUUCUUCCACGAACUAAAACAUCUCCCAUUUUACCCAAUGUAGCGUGGUUUGGAUAGACGUUAACAACCGUCACGACAACGACGUUUUAACUACCCUUAACGACCACCAAACCCUCGUGAACGUUUUUACGGACGAACGUUACAAGUCGAUGAACCUCGUUUCUUCUUUUUAGAACGACCUAAAAGAUCACGGUGUAGAGUCAAAGCACAACCGAUAGAACUUGUUCGGCUUCAUAAAGUCUCGUGGGGAGGUCGAGACUCCUGGGCACGAACGUCCCAAUAUCGACGUUUCCGUUGAGAUCGUCGUUCUUAACUAAGUUGAUCUCCACUAGGUUGACCUUUUCGACCGGCGUUGAACAAUCUUCUUUAAGCGUUCUUCUAGCUCUUCACCGUUCUUGGUGGAGGACGUUUCGAAGGUUUUGGUGAAGGACAAGGUCUAAGGCUCGGAUUUUUCUUCUCUCCACCAGCGGCGGAAGCUUUUUACUUUCUUUCUAUACGCCACUGACUAUACUACUUCGAACGUUUGGCUUACGUCAAACCGUAUGGUCUCCUCUCGAGUAAUCCACUACCAAACCCCCUUCCAAUACCUUACGAACCCGUCCGGCCUUCACCCUUUGAUGCACAGAGUCGACGCGUUUUGUUUGAACGACGAUUUCACCGGUUCUUUAAGUUCCUCUCCUCAAUACCAUCACCGCCACGUUGUAGACCUGACUGUAGAUCAAACCGGAAAUGUGGUCAAGUCCCUUAUCUCGACAGUUUGGGUGUACGGGUCCCCUUGGAAGAACCUUCACCUUGGGUCUCGUGCAUAAAGAGGCUCUGCCCGUGUAAAAGAGCCUAGGUGUUAUCCGGUACUGGCUCGAACCUUAGACUUCUACUUUUCCCGGACUCCAAUCUUCUCCCCCAGCAAAGAGCCAGGGUCGCUAAGGUAGAGUAAGACGCGUGUGGUGAGUUCUCAAGAACCCUAAGUACGUGAGCGUGUCUUAGUCGAACAUAAGAGUCAACAUAGCGCCCCAAAGGAUUACAUUCAUGUCUUUCGCGUGAUGUUGUAGUGUUCCAGACUUCAGUCCGUCAUGGGUUGCAAUGGUUACGAAGCUCGCAGCUAUUAGAAAGAUCUUUUGGGCGACCUUAACUUAACAACUUAACAGAACGGACUUUGUAGGCGGUACGACCUAGUAAGGUAUGGUGUUACACUCAACUCGAGAUUUGCUCAUGAGGGAGGCAUUUCUUUAUAUUCUCGCAAAUCUAAUGAUUUCAUCACUAGAUUUGUGAGAAUAUAAACAAAUGUCUCCCUCAUGAACACUAAAGAAAAAAGCUACCUAUACUAACGUCAAGACGAGGUAGCCGGAAACCAUUACCGUCCAGGAUUAAUUUGUACUAGUACUGUCAAUGUUUCCUUGUUGCGGUC